rnacentral:tRNA from 1 species
GGCUGUGCGGUAAAGCGCUGGACUUCCGAACCAGUUGUUCCGGGUUCGAAUCCUGG